GCUCAUGUGACGAAAUAGGUAGACGUAACGGACUUAAAAUCCGUGGGUUAACAGCCAUACCGGUUCGAGUCCGGUCAUGAGCA
rnacentral:tRNA from 5 species